GGAUGAACGCUAGCUACAGGCUUAACACAUGCAAGUCGAGGGGAAACGAUAGAGAAAGCUUGCUUUUUCUAGGCGUCGACCGGCGCACGGGUGAGUAACGCGUAUCCAACCUGCCCAUCACUUGGGGAUAACCUUGCGAAAGUAAGACUAAUACCCAAUGAUAUCUCUAGAAGACAUCUGAAGGAGAUUAAAGAUUUAUCGGUGAUGGAUGGGGAUGCGUCUGAUUAGCUUGUUGGCGGGGUAACGGCCCACCAAGGCGACGAUCAGUAGGGGUUCUGAGAGGAAGGUCCCCCACAUUGGAACUGAGACACGGUCCAAACUCCUACGGGAGGCAGCAGUGAGGAAUAUUGGUCAAUGGACGAGAGUCUGAACCAGCCAAGUAGCGUGCAGGAUGACGGCCCUAUGGGUUGUAAACUGCUUUUAUAAGGGAAUAAAGUGAGUCUCGUGAGACUUUUUGCAUGUACCUUAUGAAUAAGGACCGGCUAAUUCCGUGCCAGCAGCCGCGGUAAUACGGAAGGUCCGGGCGUUAUCCGGAUUUAUUGGGUUUAAAGGGAGCGUAGGCCGGAGAUUAAGCGUGUUGUGAAAUGUAGACGCUCAACGUCUGCACUACAGCGCGAACUGGUUUCCUUGAGUACGCACAAAGUGGGCGGAAUUCGUGGUGUAGCGGUGAAAUGCUUAGAUAUCACGAAGAACUCCGAUUGCGAAGGCAGCUCACUGGAGCGCAACUGACGCUGAAGCUCGAAAGUGCGGGUAUCGAACAGGAUUAGAUACCCUGGUAGUCCGCACGGUAAACGAUGGAUGCCCGCUGUUGGUCUGAAUAGGUCAGCGGCC
rnacentral:rRNA from 1 species